UGGGUGGAUUAGUGGCGAACGGGUGAGUAAUACGUGGGUAACCUGCCCUCCUUUUUGGGAUAAGCCUUGGAAACGGGGUCUAAUACCGAAUAUUCUGGCGCUCUCGCAUGGGGGUGUUGGGAAAGCUUUUGUGUGAAGGGGGAUGGGCUCGCGGCCUAUCAGCUUGUUGGUGGGGUGAUGGCCUACCAAGGCGGUGACGGGUAGCCGGCCUGAGAGGGUGACCGGCCACAUUGGGACUGAGAUACGGCCCAGACUCCUACGGGAGGCAGCAGUGGGGGAUAUUGCACAAUGGGCGAAAGCCUGAUGCAGCGACGCCGCGUGGGGGAUGAAGGCUUUCGGGUUGUAAACCUCUUUCGCUAUCGAACAAGGCCCGCUUAGGGUGGGUUGAGGGUAGGUGGAGAAGAAGCGCCGGCUAACUACGUGCCAGCAGCCGCGGUAAUACGUAGGGCGCGAGCGUUGUCCGGAAUUAUUGGGCGUAAAGGGCUUGUAGGCGGCUUGUUGCGCCUGCUGUGAAAACGCGGGGCUUAACUUCGCGCGUGCAGUGGGUACGGGCAGGCUUGAGUGUGGUAGGGGUGACUGGAAUUCCAGGUGUAGCGGUGGAAUGCGCAGAUAUCUGGAGGAACACCGAUGGCGAAGGCAGGUCACUGGGCCAUUACUGACGCUGAGGAGCGAAAGCAUGG
rnacentral:rRNA from 1 species